rnacentral:rRNA from 1 species
GAUUUCUGACGAAACUGCUAGCUGGCCCGUCACGUCAGUGAUGUGUGCCGGCUUGGCGUUUGUCAUCCGUUCGAAUGAUAUGCGCGCUGCCCUUCACUGGGUUGGUGCUGCAUGUUUUCAAUCUUUUACUUUGAAAAAAUUAGAGUGUUUCAAGCAGGCGUACAGCUAUGAAUACAUUAGCAUGGAAUAAUGAGUUAGGACUUCGGUUCUAUUUUGUUGGUUUCUAGGACUGAAGUAAUGAUUGAUAGGGAUAGUUGGGGGUGCUAGUAUUCAGCGGCCAGAGGUGAAAUUCUUGGAUUCGCUGAAGACUAACUUAUGCGAAAGCAUU